GCAAAAGAUGGGCAAUAUCAACAAAAGCUUGGAUUCCAAGCUACACCCUUGAAAAAGUGAAGAAAACAGACCAAAGAACUCAACAAAUCAUUUGUAUUGUUUGAUCAUGGUAAAACUAUCCACAAAUGUUUUAGUGAUUAGAGGAAUCAGCAUCAAUUCCACGCAAGCUACACCCUUGAAAAGGUCAAGAAAACAGACCAAAGAACUCAACAAAUCAUCUGUAUUGUUUGAUCAUGGUAAAACAUCUACAAAUGUUUUAGUGAUUAGAGGAAUCAGCAUCAAUUCCAUGCAAGCUACACCCCUGAAAAGGUGAAGAAAACAGACCAAAGAACUCAACAAAUCAUUUGUAUUGUUUGAUUAUGGUAAAACUAUCUACAAAUGUUUUAGUGAUUAGAGGAAUCAGCAUCAAUUCCACGCAAGCUACACCCUUGAAAAGGUGAAGAAAACAGACCAAAGAACUCAACAAAUCAUCUGUAUUGUUUGAUCAUGGUAAAACA